AUACGGAGGAUGCGAGCGUUAUCCGGAUUUAUUGGGUUUAAAGGGAGCGUAGGUGGGAUAUUAAGUCAGCUGUGAAAGUUUGGGGCUCAACCUUAAAAUUGCAGUUGAUACUGGUUUCCUUGAGUACGGUACAGGUGGGCGGAAUUCGUGGUGUAGCGGUGAAAUGCUUAGAUAUCACGAAGAACUCCGAUCGCGAAGGCAGCUCACCGGGCCGGAACUGACACUGAUGAUCGAAAGUGCGGGUAUCAAACAGGAUUAGAUACCCUGGUAGGCCGCACAGUAAACGAUGAAUACUCGCUGUUUGCGAUACACUGUAAGCGGCCAAGCGAAAGCGUUAAGUAUUCCACCUGGGGAGUACGCCGGCAACGGUGAAACUCAAAUGAAUUGACGGGG
rnacentral:rRNA from 1 species